rnacentral:tRNA from 1 species
GAGGCACUAGUAAACAGAUUACAUAGCACUGUCAGCGCUAAAUCAAGGGACUUGGCCCUUGUGUCUCU